UAUAAGCGGAGGAAAAGAAACCAACAGGGAUUGCCCUAGUAACGGCGAGUGAAGCGGCAACAGCUCAAAUUUGAAAUCUGGCUUCGGCCCGAGUUGUAAUUUGCAGAGGAUGCUUCUGGCGCGGUGCCUUCCGAGUUCCCUGGAACGGGACGCCACAGAGGGUGAGAGCCCCGUAUGGUCGGACACCAAGCCUGUGUGAAGCUCCUUCAACGAGUCGAGUAGUUUGGGAAUGCUGCUCUAAAUGGGAGGUAAAUCUCUUCUAAAGCUAAAUACCGGCCAGAGACCGAUAGCGCACAAGUAGAGUGAUCGAAAGAUGAAAAGCACCUUGAAAAGGGGGUUAAAUAGUACGUGAAAUUGUUGAAAGGGAAGCACUUAUGACCAGACUUGGGCCGGGCGGCUCAUCAGGGGUUCUCCCCUGUGCACUCCGCCCGGCACAGGCCAGCAUCGGUUCUCGUGGGGGGAUAAGACCGUCAGGAACGUAGCACCCUCCGGGGUGUGUUAUAGCCUGGCGGACGAUACCCCCGUGGGGACCGAGGUCCGCGCUCUGCAAGGAUGCUGGCGUAAUGGUCAUCAGUGACCCGUCUUGAAACACGGACCAAGGAGUCGUCCAUUAGAGCGAGCGUUUGGGUGUAAAACCCGCACGCGUAAUGAAAGUGAACGCAGGUGAGAGCUUCGGCGCAUCAUCGACCGAUCCUGAUGUUCUCGGAAGGAUUUGAGUAAGAGUUUUAACGGACGGACCCGAAAGACAGUGAACUAUGCUUGUAUAGGGUGAAGCCAGAGGAAACUCUGGUGGAGGCUCGCAGCGGUUCUGACGUGCAAAUCGAUCGUCAAAUAUGAGCAUGGGGGCGAAAGACUAAUCGAACUCUAUAGUGAG
rnacentral:rRNA from 1 species